rnacentral:rRNA from 1 species
GUAGGGUCCGAGCGUUAAUCGGAAUUACUGGGCGUAAAGUGUGCGCAGGCGGCGUUGCAAGUCGAGUGUGAAAGCCCCGGGCUUAACUUGGGAAUUGCGCUCGAAACUACGAUGCUGGAGUGUGGCAGAGGAAGGUGGAAUUCCACGUGUAGCGGUGAAAUGCGUAGAGAUGUGGAGGAACACCGAUGGCGAAGGCAGCCUUCUGGGCCAACACUGACGCUCAUGCACGAAAGCGUGGGGAGCAAACAGGAUUAGAUACCCUGGUAGUCCACGCCCUAAACGAUGAUGACUGGUUGUUGGAGGAGUUAAAUCCUUUAGUAACGCGGCUAACGCGUGAAGUCAUCCGCCUGGGGAGUACGGUCGCAAGAUUA